AGGGGGAGUGCGGGAUCCUGGGCUGUGUCCCUCAGCUCCCUGGGCUCCAGGGCCUGUACUGCUGGAAUUGCGCUCCUGGGCCACCCAACCCCUC
rnacentral:pre_miRNA from 1 species